rnacentral:rRNA from 1 species
GAUUGAACGCUGGCGGCAGGCCUAACACAUGCAAGUCGAACGGUAACAGGAAGAAGCUUGCUUCUUUGCUGACGAGUGGCGGACGGGUGAGUAAUGUCUGGGAAACUGCCUGAUGGAGGGGGAUAACUACUGGAAACGGUAGCCAAUACCGCAUGACGUCGCAAGACCAAAGAGGGGGACCUUCGGGCCUCUUGCCAUCGGAUGUGCCCAGAUGGGAUUAGCUAGUAGGUGGGGUAACGGCUCACCUAGGCGACGAUCCCUAGCUGGUCUGAGAGGAUGACCAGCCACACUGGAACUGAGACACGGUCCAGACUCCUACGGGAGGCAGCAGUGGGGAAUAUUGCACAAUGGGCGCAAGCCUGAUGCAGCCAUGCCGCGUGUAUGAAGAAGGCCUUCGGGUUGUAAAGUACUUUCAACGGGGAGGAAGGGAGUAAAGUUAAUACCUUUGCUCAUUGACGUUACCCGCAGAAGAAGCACCGGCUA